rnacentral:tRNA from 1 species
GGAGAUCUAGCUCAUCGGUAGAGCGUUUGCUUCACAGCACGAUUGAGAACGCAAAAGGUACCGGGUUCAAAACCCGGGAUCUCCA